rnacentral:rRNA from 1 species
CCGGAGCUUGCUCCACCGGAAAAAGAGGAGUGGCGAACGGGUGAGUAACACGUGGGUAACCUGCCCAUCAGANGGGGAUAACACUUGGAAACAGGUGCUAAUACCGUAUAACAAUCGAAACCGCAUGGUUUUGAUUUGAAAGGCGCUUUCGGGUGUCGCUGAUGGAUGGACCCGCGGUGCAUUAGCUAGUUGGUGAGGUAACGGCUCACCAAGGCCACGAUGCAUAGCCGACCUGAGAGGGUGAUCGGCCACAUUGGGACUGAGACACGGCCCAAACUCCUACGGGAGGCAGCAGUAGGGAAUCUUCGGCAAUGGACGAAAGUCUGACCGAGCAACGCCGCGUGAGUGAAGAAGGUUUUCGGAUCGUAAAACUCUGUUGUUAGAGAAGAACAAGGAUGAGAGUAACUGUUCAUCCCUUGACGGUAUCUAACCAGAAAGCCACGGCUAACUACGUGCCAGCAGCCGCGGUAAUACGUAGGUGGCAAGCGUUGUCCGGAUUUAUUGGGCGU